rnacentral:rRNA from 1 species
GACGAACGCUGGCGGCGCGCCUAACACAUGCAAGUCGAACGAGCGAGAGAGAGCUUGCUUUCUUGGGCGAGUGGCGAACGGGUGAGUAACGCGUGAGGAACCUGCCUCAAAGAGGGGGACAACAGUUGGAAACGACUGCUAAUACCGCAUAAGCCCACGGUGCCGCAUGGCACAGAGGGAAAAGGAGCAAUCCGCUUUGAGAUGGCCUCGCGUCCGAUUAGCUAGUUGGUGAGGUAACGGCCCACCAAGGCGACGAUCGGUAGCCGGACUGAGAGGUUGAACGGCCACAUUGGGACUGAGACACGGCCCAGACUCCUACGGGAGGCAGCAGUGGGGAAUAUUGCACAAUGGGGGAAACCCUGAUGCAGCGACGCCGCGUGGAGGAAGAAGGUCUUCGGAUUGUAAACUCCUGUUGUUGGGGAAGAUAAUGACGGUACCCAACAAGGAAGUGACGGCUAACUACGUG